GGCAUGGUGGCCAAGUGGUUAAGGCGUCGGUCUCGUACAACCGAAGACCAUGGGUUCAAAUCCCAUCCGUGCCU